rnacentral:rRNA from 1 species
GUGAGGAAUAUUGCGCAAUGGAGGCAACUCUGACGCAGCCAUGCCGCGUGCAGGAAGAAGGCGCUACGCGUUGUAAACUGCUUUUAACCGGGAAGAAACCCCAGGACGUGUCCUGGGUUGACGGUACCGGAGGAAUAAGCACCGGCUAACUUCGUGCCAGCAGCCGCGGUAAUACGAAGGGUGCAAGCGUUAUCCGGAUUCAUUGGGUUUAAAGGGUGCGUAGGCGGAGCGUUAAGUCAGUGGUGAAAUCCUGCAGCUUAACUGUAGACUUGCCAUUGAUACUGGCGCUCUUGAGUGCGCUUGAAGUGGGCGGAAUGUGCCGUGUAGCGGUGAAAUGCUUAGAUAUGGCACAGAACACCAAUUGCGAAGGCAGCUCACUAAGGCGAUACUGACGCUGAGGCACGAAAGCGUGGGGAUCGAACAGGAUUAGAAACCCUGGUAUCC